rnacentral:rRNA from 1 species
UCCAGACUCCUACGGGAGGCAGCAGUGGGGAAUAUUGCACAAUGGGGGGAACCCUGAUGCAGCGACGCCGCGUGGGUGAAGGAGCGUUUCGGCGCGUAAAGCCCUAUCGGCAGGGAAGAAGGAGGACGGUACCUGACUAAGAAGCCCCGGCUAACUACGUGCCAGCAGCCGCGGUAAUACGUAGGGGGCAAGCGUUAUCCGGAUUUACUGGGUGUAAAGGGGGCGCAGACGGCAGCGCAAGCCAGGAGUGAAAGCCCGGGGCCCAACCCCGGGACUGCUCUUGGAACUGCGCGGCUGGAGUGCAGGAGGGGCAGGCGGAAUUCCUGGUGUAGCGGUGAAAUGCGUAGAUAUCAGGAGGAACACCGGUGGCGAAGGCGGCCUGCUGGACUGCAACUGACGUUGAGGCCCGAAAGCGUGGGGAGCAAACAGGAUUAGAUACCCCAGUAC